UUUUCUAAUAUUUUACACUUACAAACUUUUAAUUAUUCAUCCAAUAAAUACUUGUUGAGUCCUUUCUACUGUUGUCAGCAUUGUUCUGGUUGCUGGGAAACAUCAGAGAAUAAGGCAGAAAAAUACAUGCUCCUCUGUAUGCUGGAAAAACGUGUGCUACUAGACUCACGGAGCCCACAUCCUAGCAGAGGGAGGCAGGUUGUAGUCUUCUGAGAGAGAUGUACCUCUAAGAGUCCAGAAGAUAUUGAACUUACUGGUCAAAAGCAAGAGCAUAACUACUAGAGAGCAGCGGGGCUCCAAACUCAGGUCACAGGCUACAAUGGGGAGCAUUUUACCAGGUGUCAAUUGAGAAAAGAAACCGGAACCACCAUAUACUCGUUUUCAUUUACUGCACCACAGAAGCAAAGAAAGCACACGCUGAAUCGUAAAACUCUUGAAUUACACACAUACCAUGGGAGAGGAACAAGGAAUAGUUGCAAGCAGACCUUUGGCAUCAAUUAGCCCUGACUUUAUGCUGCAGCAAACA